AGUGAACGCUGGCGGUAGGCCUAACACAUGCAAGUCGAACGGCAGCACAGUAAGAGCUUGCUCUUACGGGUGGCGAGUGGCGGACGGGUGAGGAAUACAUCGGAAUCUACUUUUUCGUGGGGGAUCACGUAGGGAAACUUACGCUAAUACCGCAUACGACCUACGGGUGAAGGCAGGGGAUCUUCGGACCUUGCGCGAUUGAAUGAGCCGAUGUCGGAUUAGCUAGUUGGCGGGGUAAAGGCCCACCAAGGCGACGAUCCGUAGCUGGUCUGAGAGGAUGGUCGGCGACACUGGAACUGAGACACGGUCAAGACUCCUACGGGAGGCAGCAGUGGGGAAUAUUGGACAAUGGGCGCAAGCCUGAUCCAGCCAUACCGCGUGGGUGAAGAAGGCCUUCGGGUUGUAAAGCCCUUUUGUUGGGAAAGAAAAGCAGCAGGUUAAUACCCCGCUGUUCUGACGGUACCCAAAGAAUAAGCACCGGCUAACUUCGUG
rnacentral:rRNA from 1 species